rnacentral:pre_miRNA from 1 species
CUUAUACUCCCUCCGUUCCAAAUUACUCGUCGCAGAAAUGGAUGUAUCUAGAACUAAAAUACAUCUAGAUACAUCCAUACCUGCGACAAGUAAUUCGGGACGGAGGGAGUAGUAA